AUGCAGUGAGUUGGGUAAGAGAUAUAGCCCCGUCACAUUAUAUACUCAGGAUUGAAUCAUUCUCCGAUCUUACUAAGAUUCUGUUGGAAGGGAAACUCAAAUUUUAUGAGUCAAAAGUUUUUGAAGCUAGUGGUUACAAAUGGGCAUUCUCGAUGUAUCCCAAUGGUGAUGGUAAUAGUGAGGGACACGUUUCUGUGUAUUAAAGACACGUACGUAUUGCCUUUGGAUUGGGAGAUACAUGUUGAUUUGAAGUUUUUUAUAUUUGAUAAGAAGCAUGACAAACAUUCAGUUUUUCAAGAAUGGAGAGUAAACCGGUUUCAUCAUUUGAAACCAUAAUGUGGCAUCUCGAAUUGAUCCCUCGUGGUGAGUUUGAUAAUACCGCGAAUGGGUAUCUUGUUGAAGAUAAAUGUGUCUUUGGUGUUGAAGUUUUUGUGCUUGAUUCUAAAUUCAUAGAACAACAAUUGAGUCGUUCAUUGGAAGUUGGUGAAACCUUCAUUUGGAAGGUGUCAGAUUUUAGUAACUUGGCCAGCAAAAUUUGUUUUUUCAGACGAAUUUACUGUUGCAUCCUUCCAAUGGUAAGUCAAUUUUGUGUGAGUUCUGCUAUGUAUACUUUUAAAUUAUAUUUCACGUGACAAAUAAGUAUAAGACCAUUUUCGUCUUAUGUCAA